UACGGAGGGGGUUAGCGUUGUUCGGAAUGACUGGGCGUAAAGCGCGCGUAGGCGGGCUGGAAAGUUGGGGGUGAAAUCCCGGGGCUCAACCCCGGAAUGGCCUUCAAAACUCCCAGCCUAGAGUUCGAGAGAGGUGAGUGGAAUUCCGAGUGUAGAGGUGAAAUUCGUAGAUAUUCGGAGGAACACCAGUGGCGAAGGCGGCUCACUGGCUCGACACUGACGCUGAGGUGCGAAAGCGUGGGGAGCAUACAGG
rnacentral:rRNA from 1 species